rnacentral:rRNA from 1 species
UACGAAGGGGGCUAGGCGUUGCUCGGAAUUACUGGGCGUAAAGGGCGCGUAGGCGGCACUGUUAGUCAGGCGUGAAAUUCCAUGGGCUCAACCUGGGGACUGCGCUUGAUACGGCAGAGCUAGAGAUGGAAGAGGCUCGCGGAAUUCCCAGUGUAGAGGUGAAAUUCGUAGAUAUUGGGAAGAACACCGGUGGCGAAGGCGGCGACCUGGUCCUUGACUGACGCUGAGGCGCGAAAGCGUGGGGAGC